GCACCAGUGGUGUAUGGAACACACACUGACCGUAUCCGGUCAUCCAACAAGUUCCAGCUUUCCGGUGAGACGGGGUUCGACUCCCUGCUGGUGCA